rnacentral:misc_RNA from 1 species
GAUGAAGAACGCAGCGAAAUGCGAUAAGUAAUGUGAAUUGCAGAAUUCAGUGAAUCAUCGAAUCUUUGAACGCACAUUGCGCCCGCCAGUAUUCUGGCGGGCAUGCCUGUUCGAGCGUCAUUUCAACCAUCAAGCCCCCGGCUUGUGUUGGGGACCUGCGGCUGCCGCAGGCCCUGAAAAGCAGUGGCGGGCUCGCUGUCACACCGAGCGUAGUAGCAUACAUCUCGCUCUGGGCGUGCUGCGGGUUCCGGCCGUUAAACCACCUUCAUAACCCAAGGUUGACCUCGGAUCAGGUAGGAAGACCCGCUGAACUUAAGCAUCUCAAUAAGCGGAGGA